UUACGUUGUUAUCCCUAAGGUAAUUUAAUCUUAUAAUCAAAAUAAAUGGAUCAAAAAUAUAUACAUAAAUAUAUAAAAACAAAGAGGAGUUAAAUAAUAUUCCUCCCAUCACCCCAACAAAACAAUUCACUCCCACUCAAUGUAAAUAAAUACAAACAACGAAUAAAUAGGAAAAUUGUCAAACUCUAUAGGGUCUUCUCGUCCCAUAAAAACAUUUAAGAAUUUUAACUCAAAAACCAAAUUCAAUAAAACAAUACCUCUAAGACAGCUUAUGUCUCGUCAAGCCAUUCAUACCAGAUCACAAUUAAAGAACUAAUGAUUAUGCUACCUUUGCACGGUCAAAAUACCGCGGCCCUUCAACUCUAAGUCAGUGGGCAGGCCAUACUUCAAAAACUAACAAGAAAAGAUGUUUUUGAUAAACAGGCG
rnacentral:rRNA from 1 species